AUACGGAGGGUGCAAGCGUUAUUCGGAAUCACUGGGCGUAAAGGACGCGUAGGCGGGUUGGCAAGUCAGAUGUGAAAUCCUACAGCUUAACUGUAGAACUGCAUUUGAAACUGCUAACCUAGAGUAUGGGAGGGGGAGAUGGAAUUAGUGGUGUAGGGGUAGAAUCCGUAGAUAUCACUAGGAAUACCGAAAGCGAAGGCGAUCUCCUGGAACAUAACUGACGCUAAGGCGUGAAAGCGUGGGGAGCAAACAGGAUUAGAAACCCCAGUAGUCC
rnacentral:rRNA from 1 species